GUUCUAUGCUUACUUCAACGCCAGACUGUAUUGAUAUAGAUACUUCCGCAGGCUGCUCGCAAGAUUGUUCCGAUAGCAGUGUCUGAGGCAAUGAACAAGCUUCACAAGACUCUCCAAAAGACGUGUCCGCCAAAAGCUCCACGCCUGAGUGCCCUACAGCAAAUGUGCUUUUCGGUGUGCCAGCGACAAGGUCUCCAUCAAAGAAGUACAAACAAACUAUUCAACGUCUGGAAGCCAAAGUAGCAGCACAGCGGAAAACUAUCAAAAGACUGCUGAGACAGCCUCAUAAAGCACCGUCAUCGACUUCAAAGGCCCUUGGCAUUAUCCGACCGCAUGUCACCG
rnacentral:lncRNA from 1 species